rnacentral:rRNA from 1 species
UACGUAGGUGGCAAGCGUUGUCCGGAAUUAUUGGGCGUAAAGCGCGCGUAGGCGGUUUCUUAAGUCUGAUGUGAAAGCCCACGGCUCAACCGUGGAGGGUCAUUGGAAACUGGGAAACUUGAGUGCAGAAGAGGAAAGUGGAAUUCCAUGUGUAGCGGUGAAAUGCGCAGAGAUAUGGAGGAACACCAGUGGCGAAGGCGACUUUCUGGUCUGUAACUGACGCUGAUGUGCGAAAGCGUGGGGAUCAAACAGG